rnacentral:lncRNA from 1 species
GGAGUGUGUGACUUGAACUAUUAAUUGAGCCAUACAAAUAUAUGAUUUUAUCCACCACAUUGGAAUUCACAUCCAAAUGUGUCUCUGCAUCCAACCACCACAUAAGUCCCCCUAUGUAGCAGAGGAUAGAUAGGUUCACUUGAGAAGAAUCUCUUCAACGAUCACAUUCGAAUCAUGUCAUGCAUGAACAGGCUCCGAA